rnacentral:rRNA from 1 species
CCCUUAGAUGUUCUGGGCCGCACGCGUGCUACACUGAACGGUUCAAUGGGUAGGUAGUGCGAAAGCAUGACCUAAUCUCGAAAUCCGUUCGUGCUGGGGAUAGAAGCUUGCAAUUAUCCUUCUUGAACGAGGAAUACCUUGUAAGCGUGAGUCAUCAUCUCACGCUGAAUACGUCCCUGCCCUUUGUACACACCGCCCGUCGCUCCUACCGAUUGAGUGUUCCGGUGAGGCUUUGGGAGAAUGGCCUCAACAUGAGUUUAUCGUGUUUUGCCGUUUGAACUUAGUCAAACCUUAUCACUUAGAGGAAGGAGAAGUCGUAACA